AUGGAGAGCUAUACUUUUAAUCAAGAUUAUGCUAGAGUUGAGCUUGGCAACAUGUUGGUGUUGCAUGAUUAUCCCUUGUCUAUGGUAGACCAUGUUGGUUUUAGGAGAUUUGUUGCUGCCCUUCAGCCGUUAUUCAAGCUUCAUACAAGAAAUACUAUCCGAUAUGAUAUUGUGGGAAGAUACAAAAUGGAAAGGAAGAAGGCCAUCGAGUACAUGAGUAUGAUCCAAUCAAGGGUUGCUGUCACCACUGAUAUGUGGACCUCUGACAGCCAAAAGAAGGGAUAUAUGGCUAUCACAACCCAUUUCAUUGAUGAGUCGUGGAGGCUAAGGAACAUUCUCAUGAGGUUUAUUUAUGUUCAUGCAUCACAUAAUGCGGCUGCUAUAGCUGGGAUGCUUCAUGAGUCGUUGGUGGAAUGGAAUCUUGAUGAGAAGCUCUUGACCGUGAUAGUUGAUAAUUGCAACGUCAACGACAAGGCAGUUGAGGAGAUUGUGGGCAAGAUAGGGGAAAAUAAGCUUCUUUGUGAAGAUGCUCACACAAUAGAAACUAGCUUCUGGACUUGUCUUCAAGACAUUCAAGAAGGGAUGCAGGAAUUGAUGAUUUGA
rnacentral:rRNA from 1 species